GACGGUUCCUCCCCAAAUUUCUGCCCGUGGGCUAGUAGCAGCUUAUCCUACCACAGUCUAAUCGAGCGCAUCGUGUGCAGCAGGCGGUUCAAGAAUUUUUGGGAGCGACUGCUCUUGCGAUUGCGGCGGCCGGGAAGACGCCGAGGCCGGUGAUUACGGCGGCGGCGAGCUGCUGCAGCAAGAUCGCGGUGGGCGGCGAGCAGCUUCAGCAAGAUCGCGGUGGGUGGCGGGCGGCGGGCGGCUUCAGCAAGAUCGCGGCCUUCGCGGGGAGUGGCUGUAGCUGGAGAUCUCCCCGGCGGCGAGCGGCUACAUCUGGGGAUAUGGGCGGCUUGAGCCGUGGUGAGCGAUUGGCCGCGUUGGUGCCUACGCGAGCGGCCGGUGGCCUAGGCAGCAUUGUGGUGGACUCCGCGGCGUACGGAACUCAUUUAGCAUCGGUGGUGUCUGCGAGUGGCACAGAGUUGCAUCAGCGACAUGGUGAUCCGAGCAGCUUUGGCAGUGCUGCGGGCGUAGCAUGCCGGCCAGCCGGUGGGCUUCGACCUCAAGUAGCUGGGAAUUUUUAUGCAAUCACAUGCAAUGGUGGCAAGCGGAAGCUGUGCAGGGCAUGAUGGUGGGCUUCGGCUUCAUUGAUUAGAAGCUUAAUUGAAUUCUAAAUCAUUAGAAGAGUGCCUCCUGGAUGAUUUCCUUAGUGAUGCAGCGUGAUUGCAAUCAAAAGGUCAAACUUCCCUCCAUAUUGUUUACAUGGCCGGAUGUACAUAAAACUUUUGUCUCCGAAAGGGUACCAAUUGAUUUAUAAAUUCAAUGAACAUUCCGGAGGAGUGCAGCUAGGAUGAUGGCCUUUGUCCCUACGGCAUGAUUAGAAAUAAAAGGUGUUUAAUGUGUUCGAUUCCAGAAACUCGACGAGCUGAAUAUAUUAAGGUUAUUACAACUUAUCCUCCUUCGGGUGUUUGGAAGUUUCUGUUGACUUUGAAUUGUCCCAUGCUUUGUAUAUAACACACCCCCUUUUGGAAUGCUAUCAGCAGACGGCGAUCUCUUUUUUUUUGUUUCUGUUUCUUAGCUUUGCACCUGGAUGCUCGCCCCCUGUUUUCGUUAUCUCCAUGGUAAUGAAAAUCGAUCCCCUCAUGGAUCGCUUGAAAAAAAUUAAGGUUAUUACAGGGAACUACCCCUUUGUGGCCACUGUGGAGAUACCCUAGGCUCUUAUAGUCGAAUUCCUUGGCAAUUUCACUUCAGCAGUCACGCUAAGCUGGCAGUAGCAGCUGUGCUUCGUACCAGUUGGUCUUGCUCUUUCUAGCACUCUUGCGAAAGUAUAUCACUGUUCCAAUGCCUUCUCGGAUAUCUUGUUGCCAUCUUGGCGUGUAAGAAGCAGGGAUAUAUUUGACAUUGUAUUUGACCCACUGCCUGCUGCGUGGCUUCCCAUCCUCUGAACAUCAAAUGAAGUGACAUAAAGUCAGGAUCAACGACAUUAUGAGGGAUUAUUGUGCCUCAUGCAUGAGCUAUGUUUGAAUUGUGUAUGCACUAGGCUUCACAUGUAAUUAAUUGGUCUACACAAAUAUUAUGUGUAUGCCUUUCUUAUUAAAUCUCUGAUACACAAGGCUGUCAUAAGUUGCUAUGAUUUUAUGGCGCGUGA